CUAGGCCGGAGCCCAAUUUUUUAGGAUUGGUAGUGGUUUUUUGUGGUAGUGGUGUUUGUGAACAAUUAUGGUUUGUAAUUUCUGAACAAUAGUUUCUUAGGGUUAAGGAUCCUGGAUCCUUUGAACAAUGGGUAGGAUUGCAAAAGGUGGAGGGAUCCUCUGUUUGGGGGAUGAAGCCUUUGUGAUCCUGCCGCUUUUACUUUCCUGCAAAAUGCUAAGACCGCAUAGACAAUGGACACCCUUUGCCAACCCAUGUGGACGGGCCACGUUUUGCUGGUAGAAAUGUGGGUUGGCAAUUUUGACAAUCUUUUGAAAGGGGUUAAAGAUCCUUUUGUUUAAUAAAUAAAAUCUUAAACUUUUGUCGCUUAUCUUGUGUUAUUAUCCUUUUUGAUUUUCAAUUGUUUUGACACAUGUUUGUUUGAAAAG
rnacentral:lncRNA from 1 species